rnacentral:rRNA from 1 species
GACGAACGCUGGCGGCGUGCUUAACACAUGCGAGUCGAACGGAAAGGCCCUGCUUUUGUGGGGUGCUCGAGUGGCGAACGGGUGAGUAACACGUGAGUAACCUGCCCUUGACUUUGGGAUAACUUCAGGAAACUGGGGCUAAUACCGGAUAGGAGCUCCUGCUGCAUGGUGGGGGUUGGAAAGUUUCGGCGGUUGGGGAUGGACUCGCGGCUUAUCAGCUUGUUGGUGGGGUAGUGGCUUACCAAGGCUUUGACGGGUAGCCGGCCUGAGAGGGUGACCGGCCACAUUGGGACUGAGGUGCGGCCCAGACUCCUACGGGAGGCAGGGGUGGGGAAUAUUGCACAAUGGGCGGAAGCCUGAUGCAGCAACGCCGCGUGCGGGAUGACGGCCUUCGGGUUGUAAACCGCUUUCGCCUGUGACGAAGCGUGAGUGACGGUAAUGGGUAAAGAAGCACCGGCUAACUACGU